UAAAGGACGAAUAAACCGCGUUGUAUGUCGUUUCGCGCGCGUCGCCGGCGGUUUCUGAAUCUAAUUACGACAUAGAAUUGCACAAUAUCAAUCACACUACAUGGCACAAACUCAUGAGAACACGCUGGGUGUGCAUGUGUCGACGCUUGACGCGCUUGAACAAUACUAACAAAAUCAGCACCAACAAACAUUCGAAACGCAACAAACGACCAAUCCAACCAAACCUACAUUCAUUGCUUCCAACAGUU